rnacentral:rRNA from 1 species
AACGAACGCUGGCGGCAUGCCUUACACAUGCAAGUCGAACGGCAGCACGGGAGCAAUCCUGGUGGCGAGUGGCGAACGGGUGAGUAAUGUAUCGGAACGUACCUUUCAGUGGGGGAUAACGUAGCGAAAGUUACGCUAAUACCGCAUAUUCUGUGAGCAGGAAAGCAGGGGGAUCGCAAGACCUUGCGCUGAUUGAGCGGCCGAUAUCAGAUUAGCUAGUUGGUGAGGUAAAGGCUCACCAAGGCGACGAUCUGUAGCGGGUCUGAGAGGAUGAUCCGCCACACUGGAACUGAGACACGGUCCAG